rnacentral:rRNA from 14 species
AGUGUCAGCCAUUUGAAAGAAAGCGUCAAUGAGGGUGAGAAUCCUGUUUGUCAUGUGCAGCCCUCUGUGCACGGUGUAUAUUUGCUGAGUCACACUCCUUGGCAUUGGAAUGCAAAGUGGGUGGUAAGUUUCAUACAAAGGUAAAUAUGCAAUUGAGACUGAUAGCACACAAGUACCAUGAGGGAAAUAUGAAAAGGACUUUGAAAAGAGAAUUAAAUGAGUUUGUAUUUGCUGAACACAAAGCAAACAGACUUGAUUUGCUUGGUGAGAUUGUAGUGCUUGCUUGACAAUAGGUUUUGGCUGUGGGUGAAAUGAUUCUUUCUUUGCAUGCCAGGUUCUAUGUGUACAUUUGAUUACCUUUGCACAUGAAUGGUAAUUUUCCUGCGGGGGGUGGAUUGCAUGUGCAUGUAAUGAUUUGUGUUUUGAUGAAUGUGUCUGGUGUAUCUGUUUUUGUUCCAUGUGUUUGAGGUUGCUUCCUUCCUUGGGCUUACAAGCCCUGACACACACAAUCUGGCAAAAUGUUUCUGCUUGACCCGUCUUGAAACACGGACCAAGGAGUCUAACAGAUGUGCAAGUUUGAGGGUGUUAUACCUUUGUGUGUAAUGAAAGUGUUGGCUGGGAUAUUUGCACCAGCAGCCGACUAAUUAGCAGAUAGAGGUUUGAGUUGGAGCAUAUCUAUUAGGACCCGAAAGAUGGUGAACUAUGCCUGAGCAGGGCGAAGCCAGACGAAAGUCUGGUGGAGGCUCGAAGGGAUUCUGACGUGCAAAUCGAUCUUCAAACUUGGGUAUAGGGGCGAAAGACUAAUCGAACCAUCUAGUAGCUGGUUCCCUCCGAAGUUUCCCACAGGAUAGCUGGAGUUGAACAGUUUUAUCAGGUAAAGCGAAUGAUUAGAGGCCUCGGGGAUGAAACAUCCUCGACCUAUUCUCAAACUUUAAAUGGGUAAGAAGGGCGACUUACUUGAUUGAAGUCGCCCGGCGAAUGGAAGUUGUUAGUGGGCCAUAGCUGGUAAGCAGCUCUGGCGAUGCGGGAUGAACCGAACGUUACGUUAAGGUGCCAAAGUACUCACUCACCUAGAACCCACAAAAGGUGUUGGUUCAUUUAGACAGCAGGACGGUGGCCAUGGAAGUCGGAAUCCGCUAAGGAGUGUGUAACAACUCACCUGCCGAAUGGACUAGCCCCGAAAAUGGAUGGCGCUCAAGCGGGUGACUGAUACCCAACCACUGUUGUAAACAAAAUCAAUGUGUAGGAGGGCAUGGUGGCUUGUGACACAGCCUUUGGUGAAAACCUAGGUGCAACAGCUUCUAGUGCAGAUCUUGGUGGUAGUAGCAAUUAUUCAAAUGAAAACUUUGAAGACUGAAGUGGAGAAGGGUUUCAUGUGAACAGUGCUUGGACAUGGGUUAGCCGGUCAUAAGAGAUAGGUAUGUUUUGCGCAUGCAGGCUUUGCUUCGUUCCUUGACAAGGAAUGGGGUUAAUAUCCCCCAGCCAGGACGUGGAUAUUGCAUGGUAACAUAAUGUAGGUUGGUGAUGCAAUGGGAAGCCUUG